rnacentral:rRNA from 1 species
CGGUACUUUGACCGUGCGAAGGUAGCAUAAUAAUUAGUUUUUUAAUUGAAAGCUGGAAUGAAUGGUUGAACGAGAAAAAUACUGUCUCAAUUUAAAUUUAUUAGAAUUUUAUUUUUAAGUUAAAAAGCUUAAAUAAUUUUAAAAGACGAGAAGACCCUAUAGAGUUUUAUAAAUUUUAUUAUUUAAAAUUUUUAGAAUUAUAUAAUUUUUUAUACUUAAAUUUAUUUUAUUGGGGUGAUAGAAAAAUUUAAUAAACUUUUUUUUUAUUUAAACAUUUAUUUAUGAAUUUUUGAUCCAUUAUUUAUGAUUAUAAGAUUAAAUUACCUUAGGGAUAACAGCGUAAUUUCUUUAAAGAGUUCAAAUCGAAAGAGAAGUUUGCGACCUCGAUGUUGGAUUAAAAUUAAAUUUUGGUGUAGAAGCUAAAA